rnacentral:rRNA from 1 species
UACGUAGGGCGCAAGCGUUGUCCGGAAUCAUUGGGCGUAAAGAGCUCGUAGGCGGUCUGUCGCGUCGGCUGUGAAAACCCGAGGCUCAACCUCGGGCCUGCAGUCGAUACGGGCAGACUAGAGUGCUGUAGGGGAGACUGGAAUUCCUGGUGUAGCGGUGAAAUGCGCAGAUAUCAGGAGGAACACCGAUGGCGAAGGCAGGUCUCUGGGCCAUUACUGACACUGAGAAGCGAAAGCAUGGGGAGCAAACAGG